rnacentral:tRNA from 1 species
UAGGGUAUAGCAUAAAUUAAUGUGUUUCGCUUACAUUGAAAUGAUGGCUAAGUAAGAGUCUGCCCUAA